UUUAAGUGAAUGGAUCUCGAUGAAAUUUUACCAUAAGGUUCAACACCACAAAAGGAAGGUGGGGAUUGAUUUUGGGGGUUAUGGUACUAACAGUUAAGGAAUUAGGGGCCAAAAGGGGCCAAAAAUAAGCAUUUUUGUAACUUCCAGACAUAACUUGUGUGUAAGUGUAUGGAUCUCUCUGACAUUGUACCACAAGGUUCCAUAUCACAAAGGGAAUGCUGGGAUUGAUUUUGGGGGUAAUUGUCUCCAAAUUUUAGGAAUUAGGGGCCAAAAAGGGGCAAAAAACAAGCAUUUUUCUAGUUUCAUGACAAUAACUUGCUUGUAAGUGUAUGGAUCUUUAUGAAAUUGUACUACAAGGUUCCAUAUCACAAAGGGAAUACUGGGAUUGAUUUUUGGGGUAAUUUCCUCCAAAUAUUAGGAAUUAGGGGCAAAAAAGGGGCAAAAAACAAGCAUUUUUCUAGUUUCAUGACAAUAACUUGUUUGUAAGUGUAUGGAUCUUUAUGAAAUUGUACUACAAGGUUCCAUAUCACAAAGGGAAGGCUGGGAUUGAUUUUGGGGGUUUUCACUCAAAAUUUUAGUAAUUAGGGGCCAGAAAAGGGCAAAAAAAAACAUGCAUUUUUCUAGUUUCAGGACAAUAACUUGUGUGUAAGUGUAUGGAUCUUUAUGAAAUUGUACUGCAAGGUUCCAUAUCACAAAGGGAAAGCUGGAAUUGAGUUUGGGGGUAAUUGCCCUAAACGUUUAGGAAUUUGGGGCCAAAAAGGGGCCAAAAAACAAGCAUUUUUCUAGUUUCCAGACAAUAACUUGUGUUCAAGUGUAUGAAUCUCUCUGAAAUUGUAGUGCAAGGUACCAUACCACAAAGGGAAAGCUGGGAUUGAGUUUGGGGGCGGUGAAUCAUAAGGGGGUUAAAAAAAUUGGGGGGGGAUUUUUUUUUUCCUUUUUUUUCUUUAACAUUUUCCAUUUUAAAUUGGUUAUUUCUGAUUUAUAUAUAAAAGCAAAUAAUAAUGAUAUGGUUUGAAUAGGCAUACAUGUGAACCUCCCGACAGGAGUACAAUAAUCCCGUUUUCAGGGGUCUCCUCCCGACCUCCCGUUGAAGAGGAAAAAUCCCGUGUAUGAAAUUUUUCAUGAAUGAAAAAUUUCUGCCCAACAUAUCAUCUCAGGCAUCUGGUGUAACUGACAUUACCUGAAGUUAUAUUUUACCUGUAAAUCAAUUAACAUGCAUAAUUAUAUGGCUUCACUUGUCAGCUUGGGUGUCAAACAUACUGGUAAGCAACGAUUUUUACCUCAGGCUAACUGCCGUUGUGUAACAAAAACUGUGUAUUUAUUGGGUUACUUCCCUUGAUUUAUCCUGUUUUAAGUUACUUUCCUUUUAAUAAUGAAAAUUUUUAAAAGAAUAUCAAUAAAAUAUAAAUUGAACAAAUAAUCAUAAAAGGAUGGUUAUUAAAUGAUUUUAAAUGUCUUAGGACAAAUAAAAAAAUAAUAAUUUGAAAAUUAUUUGAGGAUUCUAUACUUCCUUUUAAGGCUUAAAUUGAAAUUUAUAUAAUAACUAUGACCCUAACUUUACAGAUAGAAUGAAUUUCUGAGUUUGCAAAUAAAAACUAUUUGCAAGAGAAAAAAAAAAUAAAUAAAAACUAUUUGCA